rnacentral:lncRNA from 1 species
AUAACAUAAUAACCAACAAGACUUGCCCAUAAUUCUGAAUAGCUCUCCACUGCCUUAGCCCAAUUCAAACAUCUCAAAGAGUGACAAGCUAACUUGAAAGAUUUUAUAUAACGAUGGAAUGAGCUAAAAACAGCUUAGCAAGUGAUAAAGCAUAUUCAGAACAAAAGGAACGGUUUCAAACAAGUAAGAUAUCAUAAUGCAAGGCAGAAUA